CUACACCUAAUCAAGCUAAGUAUCCUUGUCUGUAGGGUUCUGUGUGCAAUGGCUAUGAAAAACAUCCUUGGUAAUAUAUGCAAAGGGAGCUUGCAGACAGCC
rnacentral:snoRNA from 1 species